rnacentral:rRNA from 1 species
UCGCNUCUGCUGUGAAAGGCUGGGGCUUAACCCUGGUUUUGCAGUGGGUACGGGCUAACUAGAGUGCAGUAGGGGAGACUGGAAUUCNUGGUGUAGCGGUGGAAUGCGCAGAUAUCAGGAGGAACACCGAUGGCGAAGGCAGGUNUCUGGGCUGUAACUGACGCUGAGAAGCGAAAGCAUGGGGAGCGAGCAGGAUUAGAUACCCUGGUAGUCCAUGCCGUAAACGUUGGGCACUAGGUGUGGGGGACAUUCCACGUUUUCCGCGCCGUAGCUAACGCAUUAAGUGCCCCGCCUGGGGAGUACGGCCGCAAGGCUAAAACUCAAAGAAAUUGACGGGGGCCCGCACAAGCGGCGGAGCAUGCGGAUUAAUUCGAUGCAACGCGAAGAACCUUACCAAGGCUUGACAUAUACUGGACUGCGUCAGAGAUGGCGUUUCCCUUCGGGGCUGGUAUACAGGUGGUGCAUGGUUGUCGUCAGCUCGUGUCGUGAGAUGUUGGGUUAAGUCCCGCAACGAGCGCAACCCUCGUUCUAUGUUGCCAGCACGUGAUGGUGGGGACUCAUAGGAGACUGCCAGGGUUAACUCGGAGGAAGGUGGGGAUGACGUCAAAUCAUCAUGCCCCUCAUGUCUUGGGCUUCACGCAUGCUACAAUGGCCGGUACCGAGGGUUGCGAUACUGUGAGGUGGAGCUAAUCCCUAAAAGCCGGUCUCAGUUCGGAUUGGGGUCUGCAACUCGACCCCAUGAAGUCGGAGUCGCUAGUAAUCGCAGAUCAGCAACGCUGCGGUGAAUACGUUCCCGGGCCUUGUACAC